CAGCGUGUAGCUCAGCAGUAGAGCACCGGGCUCGGGACCCGGAGGGCGCGGGUGCGAAUCCUGCCACGCUGGC
rnacentral:tRNA from 1 species